rnacentral:rRNA from 1 species
GACGAACGCUGGCGGCGUGCUUAACGCAUGCAAGUCGAACGAGGCCCAUCCAGCUUGCUGGUGAAGACCGAGUGGCGAACGGGUGAGUAACACGUGAGGAACCCACCCCGGAGACCGGGGUAACCCUCCGAAAGGAGAGCUAAUACCGGAUGCCCUCAUCGGAUCGCAUGUUCUGAUGAGGAAAUGGAUUCCGCUCCGGGACGGCCUCGCGGCCUAUCAGCUUGUUGGUGGGGUAACGGCCCACCAAGGCGUCGACGGGUAGCUGGUCUGGGAGGACGGUCAGCCACACUGGGACUGAGACACGGCCCAGACUCCUACGGGAGGCAGCAGUAGGGAAUCUUCCACAAUGGACGAAAGUCUGAUGGAGCAACGCCGCGUGAGUGAUGAAGGUUUUCGGAUCGUAAAACUCUGUUGUAAGGGAAGAACACGUACGAGAGGAAAUGCUCGUACCUUGACGGUACCUUACGAGAAAGCCACGGCUAACUACGUGCCAGCAGCCGCAGUAAGAC